rnacentral:lncRNA from 1 species
UUUUACAAAAAUCGAACCGAACCGAAUAAGAGGAAUAACCGAAUCGAACCGAACCGAUUUGGUUCGGUUCGGUUCGGUCGGUUCGAUCGGUUGAACCGAUUUUCAAUUUUUUUUUUUUUAAAUUCAUUCUAAAAUUCUAUUAAAAUAUUUUAAUUUUAAAUUUUACAAAUAAAAAAUCAAACAACUCAUAUAUUCAUGCGAACCCCAGCUGAAAUGCCCCAAUACUCAAUUCAAAAAGCAGUGUGUCAUCGGAUGUACAGAUUGGGAAGAUAAAAUCUGAACGCAAGAAUAC